rnacentral:lncRNA from 1 species
UUUCCAAAAGUAACAAAAAUGACUAUCUACUUUUUAACAACAAAGACUAGAAAAUUAACAAUACUGAUACAUUUGAUUCUGUUAUACAAUGCAGCGACUUCAUUCUUGAUAUUUAUGAAAGUAAUUUUAUUCUUAUUGAUCAAAAUAUCCAUAAAAGGAAUGUGAUAAUUAUAGGAAACAUUUAAAUUUUUUGAGGUAGCGACAUUGUUUAAAAUCACAAUUUUAAAAAGAAAUGUAGUUUCAUAGCAUAUUUUGGAUCUGUGGUCGGUACAUUCAAAUGCAAUGCAUUAGUACCCUUUCUAUUUUUUUGGCCAGCAUCUCAUCAAGUACUAAACCCUUGAAACAUUAAAAAAAAAACGAUUGUGUAAAAAAUUAUAAUAAAAUCAACCUUUCUUCAUAAAAAAAUAUAUUAAAAAGUAAAAAAAUGAAUGACUUUUCUUUUGCUUAUCAAUUUGAUGUUUAAUCUUAAAAUGAUAUGUUUCCUAAUUUAGAAUUAAGAUACAAUGGAAUUAAUUCUAGACAAACUGUAUCAUGUGUAGGCUCAACAAUUAAAAAGAAUUUGUAAAAAAUUAAUACAGCACAUACAAGGAUCCGGAAAUUUUUUCACCUAAUUUCGGUCAUUUUCAUAUAACUUAAAAGUUGGUGCCCCUUUUCAAAAACAGAUUGUCAAAAUCUCAUUACUGCAUUAGUAUGCUCCUACUCGUAGCAUCAACGAACUUGUUUAACUGUUGCAUCGUGUUUACUUCAUGAUUUAUCCUACCAUUUUCCUAAAAUCGAUCAAGAGCAAUUAAGGGAAGGCAACAGUUUAAGAAUAAAAUGAUUUUAAUGACUCAAAAUCGUAUUUUUUUCAGUCAUCGCUUACGUUUCUUUCGAUUCUGAAGUCGAAAUUCAAACCGG